rnacentral:rRNA from 1 species
UUAAGCGACUAAGCGUACACGGUGGAUGCCCUGGCAGUCAGAGGCGAUGAAGGACGUGCUAAUCUGCGAAAAGCGUCGGUAAGGUGAUAUGAACCGUUAUAGCCGGCGAUGUCCGAAUGGGGAAACCCAGUGUGAUUCGUCACACUAUCGUUAACUGAAUACAUAGGUUAACGAGGCGAACCGGGGGAACUGAAACAUCUAAGUACCCCGAGGAAAAGAAAUCAACCGAGAUUCCCCCAGUAGCGGCGAGCGAACGGGGAGCAGCCCAGAGUCUGAAUCAGCUUGUGUGUUAGUGGAACGGUCUGGAAAGUCCGACGGUACAGGGUGAUAGUCCCGUACACCAAAAUGCACAGGUUGUGAACUCGAAGAGUAGGGCGGGACACGUGGUAUCCUGUCUGAAUAUGGGGGGACCAUCCUCCAAGGCUAAAUACUCCUGACUGACCGAUAGUGAACCAGUACCGUGAGGGAAAGGCGAAAAGAACCCCGGCGAGGGGAGUGAAAAAGAACCUGAAACCGUGUACGUACAAGCAGUGGGAGCACCUUCGGGUGUGACUGCGUACCUUUUGUAUAAUGGGUCAGCGACUUAUAUUCUGUAGCAAGGUUAACCGUAUAGGGGAGCCGCAGGGAAACCGAGUCUUAACUGGGCGUUAAGUUGCAGGGUAUAGACCCGAAACCCGGUGAUCUAGCCAUGGGCAGGUUGAAGGUUGGGUAACACUAACUGGAGGACCGAACCGACUAAUGUUGAAAAAUUAGCGGAUGACUUGUGGCUGGGGGUGAAAGGCCAAUCAAACCGGGAGAUAGCUGGUUCUCCCCGAAAGCUAUUUAGGUAGCGCCUCGUGAAUUCAUCUUCGGGGGUAGAGCACUGUUUCGGCUAGGGGGUCAUCCCGACUUACCAACCCGAUGCAAACUACGAAUACCGAAGAAUGUUAUCACGGGAGACACACGGCGGGUGCUAACGUCCGUCGUGAAGAGGGAAACAACCCAGACCGCCAGCUAAGGUCCCAAAGUCAUGGUUAAGUGGGAAACGAUGUGGGAAGGCACAGACAGCCAGGAUGUUGGCUUAGAAGCAGCCAUCAUUUAAAGAAAGCGUAAUAGCUCACUGGUCGAGUCGGCCUGCGCGGAAGAUGUAACGGGGCUAAACCAUGCACCGAAGCUGCGGCAGCGACACUUAUGUGUUGUUGGGUAGGGGAGCGUUCUGUAAGCCUGCGAAGGUGGCCUGUGAGGGCUGCUGGAGGUAUCAGAAGUGCGAAUGCUGACAUAAGUAACGAUAAAGCGGGUGAAAAGCCCGCUCGCCGGAAGACCAAGGGUUCCUGUCCAACGUUAAUCGGGGCAGGGUGAGUCGACCCCUAAGGCGAGGCCGAAAGGCGUAGUCGAUGGGAAACAGGUUAAUAUUCCUGUACUUGGUGUUACUGCGAAGGGGGGACGGAGAAGGCUAUGUUAGCCGGGCGACGGUUGUCCCGGUUUAAGCAUGUAGGCGGAGGUUCCAGGUAAAUCCGGUACCUUUUAACGCUGAGGUGUGAUGACGAGGCACUACGGUGCUGAAGUAACAAAUGCCCUGCUUCCAGGAAAAGCCUCUAAGCAUCAGGUAACAUUAAAUCGUACCCCAAACCGACACAGGUGGUCAGGUAGAGAAUACCAAGGCGCUUGAGAGAACUCGGGUGAAGGAACUAGGCAAAAUGGUGCCGUAACUUCGGGAGAAGGCACGCUGGUGUGUAGGUGAAGUCCCUGCGGACGGAGCUGAGACCAGUCGAAGAUACCAGCUGGCUGCAACUGUUUAUUAAAAACACAGCACUGUGCAAACACGAAAGUGGACGUAUACGGUGUGACGCCUGCCCGGUGCCGGAAGGUUAAUUGAUGGGGUUAUCCGUAAGGAGAAGCUCUUGAUCGAAGCCCCGGUAAACGGCGGCCGUAACUAUAACGGUCCUAAGGUAGCGAAAUUCCUUGUCGGGUAAGUUCCGACCUGCACGAAUGGCGUAAUGAUGGCCAGGCUGUCUCCACCCGAGACUCAGUGAAAUUGAACUCGCUGUGAAGAUGCAGUGUACCCGCGGCAAGACGGAAAGACCCCGUGAACCUUUACUAUAGCUUGACACUGAACAUUGAGCCUUGAUGUGUAGGAUAGGUGGGAGGCUUUGAAGCGUGGACGCCAGUCUGCGUGGAGCCAACCUUGAAAUACCACCCUUUAAUGUUUGAUGUUCUAACGUUGGCCCCUUAUCGGGGUUGCGGACAGUGUCUGGUGGGUAGUUUGACUGGGGCGGUCUCCUCCCAAAGAGUAACGGAGGAGCACGAAGGUUAGCUAAUCCUGGUCGGACAUCAGGAGGUUAGUGCAAUGGCAUAAGCUAGCUUGACUGCGAGCGUGACGGCGCGAGCAGGUGCGAAAGCAGGUCAUAGUGAUCCGGUGGUUCUGAAUGGAAGGGCCAUCGCUCAACGGAUAAAAGGUACUCCGGGGAUAACAGGCUGAUACCGCCCAAGAGUUCAUAUCGACGGCGGUGUUUGGCACCUCGAUGUCGGCUCAUCACAUCCUGGGGCUGAAGUAGGUCCCAAGGGUAUGGCUGUUCGCCAUUUAAAGUGGUACGCGAGCUGGGUUUAGAACGUCGUGAGACAGUUCGGUCCCUAUCUGCCGUGGGCGCUGGAGAAUUGAGGGGGGCUGCUCCUAGUACGAGAGGACCGGAGUGGACGCAUCACUGGUGUUCGGGUUGUCAUGCCAAUGGCACUGCCCGGUAGCUAAAUGCGGAAGAGAUAAGUGCUGAAAGCAUCUAAGCACGAAACUUGCCCCGAGAUGAGUUCUCCCUGAGACUUUAAGUCUCCUGAAGGAACGUUGAAGACGACGACGUUGAUAGGCCGGGUGUGUAAGCGCAGCGAUGCGUUGAGCUAACCGGUACUAAUGAACCGUGAGGCUUAACCUU